rnacentral:rRNA from 1 species
CCUACGGGUGGCAGCAGUGAGGAAUAUUGGUCAAUGGUCGGGAGACUGAACCAGCCAAGCCGCGUGAAGGAUGAAGGUACAGAGGAUCGUAAACCUCUUUUGUCAGGGAACAAAGGCGGGUACGUGUCCCCGGAUGAGUGUACCUGAAGAAAAAGCAUCGGCUAACUCCGUGCCAGCAGCCGCGGUAAUACGGAGGAUGCGAGCGUUAUCCGGAUUUAUUGGGUUUAAAGGGUGCGCAGGCGGUCUGUUAAGUCAGCGUGAAAAGCCCGGGGCUCAACCCCGGACCGCCGUUGAAACUGGCAGUCUUGAGUUGGAGAGAGGUAUGCGGAAUGCGCGGUGUAGCGGUGAAAUGCAUAGAUAUCGCGCAGAACUCUGAUUGCGAAGGCAGCAUGCUGGCUCCACACUGACGCUGAGGCACGAAAGCGUGGGUAUCGAACAGGAUUAGAUACCCCGGUAGUC